rnacentral:rRNA from 1 species
UGAGGAAUAUUGGACAAUGGACGCAAGCCUGAUCCAGCCAUGCCGCGUGCAGGAUGACGGUCCUAUGGAUUGUAAACUGCUUUUGUACAGGAAGAAACAGUUCUACGUGUAGAACCUUGACGGUACUGUAAGAAUAAGGAUCGGCUAACUCCGUGCCAGCAGCCGCGGUAAUACGGAGGAUCCAAGCGUUAUCCGGAAUCAUUGGGUUUAAAGGGUCCGUAGGCGGUUAGAUAAGUCAGUGGUGAAAGCCCAUCGCUCAACGGUGGAACGGCCAUUGAUACUGUCUGACUUGAAUUAUUAGGAAGUAACUAGAAUAUGUAGUGUAGCGGUGAAAUGCUUAGAGAUUACAUGGAAUACCAAUUGCGAAGGCAGGUUACUACUAAUGGAUUGACGCUGAUGGACGAAAGCGUGGGUAGCGAACAGGAUUAGAUACCCUCGUAGUCCCUGAGCGGGCUGGCAAGGCGCAU